rnacentral:tRNA from 1 species
GCCGGGAUGGCGGAAUUGGUAGACGCACGGGACUCAAAAUCCCGCGCUUGAAAGGGCGUGGGGGUUCGAUUCCCCCUCCCGGCACCA